UGGGGAAUCUUGCACAAUGGGGGCAACCCUGAUGCAGCGACGCCGCGUGAGCGAUGAAGCCCUUCGGGGCGUAAAGCUCUUUCGACCGGAACGAUAAUGACGGUACCGGGAGAAGAAGCUGCGGCUAACUACGUGCCAGCAGCCGCGGUAAUACGUAGGCAGCGAGCGUUGUUCGGAGUUACUGGGCGUAAAGAGUGCGUAGGCGGCGAGCCAAGUUUGGUGUGAAAUCUCCCGGCUUAACCGGGAGGGUGCGCCGAAAACUGGUUGGCUUGAGUAUGGGAGAGGAAAGCGGAAUUCCGGGUGUAGCGGUGAAAUGCGUAGAUAUCAGGAGGAACACCUGCGGUGUAGACAGCUUUCUGGACCAAAACUGACGCUGAGGCACGAAAGCGUGGGUAGCAAACA
rnacentral:rRNA from 1 species